rnacentral:rRNA from 1 species
UACGGGGGGGGGCAAGCGUUAAUCGGAAUUACUGGGCGUAAAGCGUGCGUAGGCGGUUCGUUAAGUUCGUUGUGAAAGCCCCGGGCUCAACCUGGGAAUGGCAAUGGAAACUGGCGGGCUGGAGUAUGGCAGAGGGGGGGUGGAAUUCCGCGUGUAGCAGUGAAAUGCGUAGAGAUGCGGAGGAACACCGAUGGCGAAGGCAGCCCCCCUGGGCCAAUACUGACGCUCAGGCACGAAAGCGUGGGGAGCAAACAGG